GUGAGGAAUUUUCCGCAAUGGGCGAAAGCCUGACGGAGCAAUGUCGCGUGAAGGAUGAAGGCCUAUGGGUUGUAAACUUCUUUUCUCAGAAAAGAAUUAUGACGGUAUCUGAGGAAUAAGCAUCGGCUAACUCUGUGCCAGCAGCCGCGGUAAGACAGAGGAUGCAAGCGUUAUCCGGAAUGAUUGGGCGUAAAGCGUCUGUAGGUUGUUUAAAAAGUAUUCUGUCAAAGAUUAGGGCUUAACCCUAGAUAGGCAGAAUAAACUUUUAAGCUAGAGUUUGGUAGAGGCAGAGGGAAUUCCCGGUGGAGCGGUGAAAUGCGUAGAUAUCGGGAGGAACACCAAAGGCGAAGGCACUCUGCUGGGCCAAUACUAACACUGAGAGACGAAAGCGAGGGGAGCAAAUGGGAUUAGAAACCCUAGUAGUCC
rnacentral:rRNA from 1 species